UCAUGCUCUAUGUAAUAGGCUACACUGCAUGGUUCUAGGAUGAACUUAAUAAAGAUAUCGGCAUAGAGGCUAUGUCGGGGCCUAGCCUUGUGUUAGAAACGGAUCUACCACAAGUUUCUCAACGAUAACACGCUGGUCAAUUAGUAAAUUAUCAGGAAUUCCAAUCGGAUAGCAGAGAGAGCGAUCGAUGUUACUCGAGCGGUCCACCGCCAAGAUUUUUACGAUAAGUUUGACAUUGGGAGCGGUGAGAGAGAUCCAUAUCGACUUGUCUUACCAACAACCAAACGGCCAUUAACCUUUAGGUACCGACGUGCGGUCCAAGAUGCUCCAGCAGGCGCUUGACUUGCUUGUUUACCCCUUUCUCCGCGCAACAAUGAUCCCUACUUUUAGCUAGCUGUGUGAAUAUUGCCCACGUUCGCGUUGAUGUUGGAAGUUUGGAAUUGUGAGCUAUGGAUGUACCAGUUACUUCAGGUAGUAAAAGAAAUACUUCUGCCUCAGAUUUACAGCCUUCAAAGAGAAAUCCAAAUCAAAUCCAUAUUUGACAGGAGUGAUCGAGAGCUGGCUCGAGGAUGAAGAUUCUUGCGGUUCCGAGGUUGACCGGUGCGCAGUGAGCAUGAUAGGGAUACUAGCAUUGAUAUAUCUGAUACCUAAGACAUUCAACCCGAACACCUGGAUGAACCAUCAUCGUGAUCAGAUGAAGAUGCUUCGCUUUCAAAGCUGUGGUGUAAAGUAGUGUAAAUCACCUCCAAACAGAUCAUCAGUUAGAACGCCACGACUCAAUAUUAUUGUCCGGGCACCUACAUCCAAUUUGACCGAAAAUGAUGGAAAGGAUCCUUAUUCUUUAUAGAAGCAAUAUAUAAAUGACGAUAUGUUAUCGGAGAUUAUGCUCAUGACCAAUGAGAAGCUACUUGAAUAUAGAUGUAAAUAUAUGAAG